AUGAUCCCUAUAGGGCGUGGUCAGCGAGAGUUAAUUAUUGGGGACAGACAGACUGGCAAAACAGCAGUAGCCACAGAUACAAUUCUCAAUCAAAAAGGGCAAGGUGUAAUAUGUGUUUAUGUAGCUAUCGGUCAAAGAGCAUCCUCCGUAGCUCAAGUAGUAACUACUUGCCAUGAGGAGGCGGCCAUGGAAUACACUAUUGUAGUACACGAGGCUAGCACACAGCCAUCGAACUUUCGAAGGCGACCACCGAUGGCAGGCAGCGAGCUCUGGAAAAAAUGGUGGAACCGUCACCAUCUAAAGGUGGUGAGAUAG
rnacentral:rRNA from 1 species